rnacentral:lncRNA from 1 species
UCCAAAUCUGCUGCCAUUUGAUUCUUGACACGCAGCAAAGCUGUCUUUUCUUUAUUUAAAAGACUGAUAUCUUUUUCAAGUUCUGCAAUAUGCUCCUUCUGUACACUUAUUUGAGAAUCUCUCUGUUGCACAGUUUCAAUGAGGUAUUUGUAUGGCUGUUGUACUUGACUCAACAAAGAAUUUGCUCUGUCAAGCUCUUGUGAAAUCUGUGUUACUUGUUCCUUCUGAUGUUCCAGAUCUUUUACAAGCAAUGAGUUUUGCUUUUCUAGCUGCAGUAACCUCCUUGCCAAGUGAACACUUUGCUUUAGUCGUC